rnacentral:rRNA from 1 species
CAGCCGCCACGGUAAUACGUAGGGUGCAAGCGUUAAUCGGAAUUACUGGGCGUAAAGCGUGCGCAGGCGGUUAUAUAAGACAGAUGUGAAAUCCCCGGGCUCAACCUGGGAACUGCAUUUGUGACUGUAUAGCUAGAGUACGGCAGAGGGGGAUGGAAUUCCGCGUGUAGCAGUGAAAUGCGUAGAUAUGCGGAGGAACACCGAUGGCGAAGGCAAUCCCCUGGGCCUGUACUGACGCUCAUGCACGAAAGCGUGGGGAGCAAACAGGAUUAGAUACUCCAGUAGUCCCUGUCUCUUAUAC